rnacentral:rRNA from 1 species
CGUGGAUGAUGAAGGCUUUCGAGUCGUAAAAUCCUGUCAGAUGGGAAGAAGUGUAUAUUACCUAAUACGUGAUAUAUUUGACGGUACCAUCAAAGGAAGCACCGGCUAACUCCGUGCCAGCAGCCGCGGUAAUACGGAGGGUGCAAGCGUUGUUCGGAAUUACUGGGCGUAAAGCGCGCGUAGGUGGUUUGUUAAGUCAGAUGUGAAAGUCCAUGGCUCAACCAUGGAAGUGCAUUUGAAACUGGCAGACUUGAGUACUGGAGGGGGUAGUGGAAUUCCCGGUGUAGAGGUGAAAUUCGUAGAUAUCAGGAGGAAUACCGGUGGCGAAGGCGACUACCUGGCCAGAUACUGACACUGAGGUGCGAAAGCAUGGGGAGCAAACAGGAUUAGAUACCCUGGUAGUCCACGCCGUAAACGAUGUCAACUAGAUGUUGGAGUGGUUAAUCGCUUCAUUGUCGCAGCUAACGCAUUAA